CCUACGGGAGGCAGCAGUGAGGAAUAUUGGUCAAUGGCCGGAAGGCUGAACCAGCCAAGCCGCGUGAAGGACGAAGGUGCCAAGCAUUGUAAACUUCUUUUGUCAAGGGACAAAAUCAGGCUCGAGAGCCUGACCGAGGGUACUUGAAGAAAAAGCAUCGGCUAACUCCGUGCCAGCAGCCGCGGUAAUACGGAGGAUGCGAGCGUUAUCCGGAUUUAUUGGGUUUAAAGGGUGCGUAGGCGGGCUGUUAAGUCAGCGGUAAAAGCCCGGGGCUCAACCCCGGCGAGCCGUUGAAACUGGCUGUCUUGAGAUGUCGAGAGGUAUGCGGAAUGCGCAGUGUAGCGGUGAAAUGCUUAGAUAUUGCGCAGAACUCCGAUUGCGAAGGCGGCCUGCUGGGCUUUUACUGACGCUGAGGCUCGAAAGUGUGGGGAGCAAACAGGAUUAGAUACCCCUGUAGUC
rnacentral:rRNA from 1 species